GACAACAUCACAACACCCCUGGCCACUAUUCCAGUCCACCUUAAGGUUACAGAUGAACCAGUUGACCUCCAGUCAGAAGAUGUUUUGGUCAUUAAACCAAAGAAAAGCAGAGUCAUGAGAUUCUUCCGUCGACUUUUCUGCUGCAUAAACGAAGAUGAUUUGAUGGUGUGAACCUGACCAGCUUUUCAGAGGAUGACUUCAGCUCACACACAAACACACGGGCGCGCACACACACAUAUACGCAUGCCCACACACACACACACACGCACACACCCACCAGAUGUUGUUUAACUUGAGUUUCGCAUGUUAAAUAUUUCUCUAUAAUUUUUCCUAAUUAAAUAUUUUAUUAUGUC